AUGCCUAGGGGUUCUGAGAGGAAGGUCCCCCACACUGGUACUGAGACACGGACCAGACUCCUACGGGAGGCAGCAGUGAGGAAUAUUGGUCAAUGGGCGAGAGCCUGAACCAGCCAAGUCGCGUGAGGGACGACGGCCCUACGGGUUGUAAACCUCUUUUGCCGGGGGACAAACGGCGGCACGCGUGCCGUCCUGAGGGUACCCGGAGAAAAAGCAUCGGCUAACUCCGUGCCAGCAGCCGCGGUAAUACGGAGGAUGCGAGCGUUAUCCGGAUUUAUUGGGUUUAAAGGGUGCGUAGGCGGGAUGCCAAGUCAGCGGUCAAAUACGGGGGCUCAACCUGCGUCCGCCGUUGAAACUGGCGUUCUUGAGUGGGCGAGAAGUACGCGGAAUGCGUGGUGUAGCGGUGAAAUGCAUAGAUAUCACGCAGAACCCCGAUUGCGAAGGCAGCGUACCGGCGCCCGACUGACGCUGAAGCACGAAAGCGUGGGUAUCGAACAGGAUUAGAUACCCUGGUAGUCCACGCAGUAAACGAUGAACACUAAUUGU
rnacentral:rRNA from 1 species